GUCCGGAUUUAUUGGGCGUAAAGCGAGCGCAGGCGGAAAAAUAAGUCUAAUGUGAAAGCCCUCGGCUUAACCGAGGAACUGCAUCGGAAACUGUUUUUCUUGAGUGCAGAAGAGGAGAGUGGAACUCCAUGUGUAGCGGUGGAAUGCGUAGAUAUAUGGAAGAACACCAGUGGCGAAGGCGGCUCUCUGGUCUGCAACUGACGCUGAGGCUCGAAAGCAUGGGUAGCGAACAGGAUUAGAUACCCUGGUAGUCCAUGCCGUAAACGAUGAGUGCUAAGUGCUGGGAGGUUUCCGCCUCUCAGUGCUGCAGCUAACGCAUUAAGCACUCCGCCUGGGGAGUACGACCGCAAGGUUGAAACUCAAAGGAAUUGACGGGGGCCCGCACAAGCGGUGGAGCAUGUGGUUUAAUUCGAUGCAACGCGAAGAACCUUACCAGGUCUUGACAUCUAGUGCAAUCUGUAGAGAUACGGAGUUCCCUUCGGGGACGCUAAGACAGGUGGUGCAUGGCUGUCGUCAGCUCGUGUCGUGAGAUGUUGGGUUAAGUCCCGCAACGAGCGCAACCCUUGUUAUUAGUUGCCAGCAUUAAGUUGGGCACUCUAAUGAGACUGCCGGUGACAAACCGGAGGAAGGUGGGGAUGACGUCAAGUCAUCAUGCCCCUUAUGACCUGGGCUACACACGUGCUACAAUGGGCAGUACAACGAGAAGCAAGCCUGCGAAGGCAAGCGAAUCUCUGAAAGCUGUUCUCAGUUCGGAUUGUAGGCUGCAACUCGCCUACAUGAAGUCGGAAUCGCUAGUAAUCG
rnacentral:rRNA from 1 species